UCUCUCUCUCUCUCUCUCUCUCUCUCUCUCUCUGUGUUCUCGAUCUAACUGAACAAAUUGAGCAUCGCAGAACUUGGUGGCCACUGUGCUAAUCUAGAUCCAGGGCUUACUCGUUUUGGGUAUUUCAUUCAUUUUGGCUUACUCUUCAGUCGUUCCUCUCCUCUCUCGUUGAAUCUAAUUCGACUCAGAUGCUUCCAAUUCAAUGGCGGGGUCAUUCAUGCGAGUUUCUUUCUGUCCGAGUGAAAUUCGUACAGAAUUUCGAUUCAACUCAGAUGGUCUCUCUUCUCUGUUCUCGGAAAGCUCGCGUCUUGGUUUCAGUUGGGUUUUCGAAACAGAAAGAGGAAGAAGUUGAUAGAAAUGGGAAAUUGGAGAGAGCAAUUGAUGGGGUUUCAAAAGAGGAAAAGAUAAUAAUUUCGAAAAGCUUUGAACAUAGAAAUGGCAAAUUGGAGGGACAGAUUGAUGGAAUUUCAGUUGGUGUUUCAAAAAAGGAGGGGAUGGUGAUUUCAAAAGGCUUAAUUGGGGCUGCGGUGGAUGAAAUUCUAUCUGGGGAUAGUGAAAAUGAUGAAAAUGUGGAACCUUUUGUGUCUUCUGGUCGUGAUUCUCAAGCUUCUACUCGGUUGCCUUGGGAGAGAGAAGGUGAAUUGGGUAAUGGGGAAGGUGGUAAGACAAUAAAGAAGUGGAGUAAUACGCUUUCGGCUGAGGCAUCCCUUCCGGAGCAUGAGUUGAAGAGGCUAAGGAAUGUUUAUUUGAGGAUGCUGGAAAGGACUAAAGUCGGAGCUGCCGGUAUCAUACAAGGUUUGGUGGAUGCUAUACAUGAGAAGUGGAAGGUGGAUGAAGUGGUCAAGUUGAAGUUUGAGGAGCCACUCUCACUUAACAUGAAAAGAACUCAUGGCAUUUUAGAGGUUGGUGUCUGUACAUUGUUAUAUAUCUUACUCUCUUUCAUCUAUAUCAAUUGAAUCGUUCUGAUUAUUUUAGUCUCAGCUGACUAGUAUUGUCUGUAUUCUUUUGAAUUGGAGAUGCAAUAAUGAUGUUGAUAAUAGCUAUGUCGUAUAUUGUUAAUAAGUUGUUCAAGAAUUGAGUGUCCUGGUAACUUAUUUAGGGUUAUCUUCUAUUCUGUGCCAAAGUAAAACUGGAGGUUUGGUUAUAUGGAGAUCAGGCAGUUCAGUAGUGUUAUACAGGGGAAUAUCAUACAAUCUUCCGUGUGUAAAGUCAUAUACCAAACAUUUGAAGAAUGUUGACCUAUCUUUCCACUGGUUUGAUUCAUUUUUUCUUUCGAAGCUAUAAUUUCUGUUCAAGGAGCUCCAAAGAUCUCCUCAGAUCCGACUGCAAUCGCACUGAGUAUUUUCUCAGUGCAAUUAUCAAUUACCAUCUUUAUAGAUAUUGAGGAGCGGCACGAAUUGUUGCAGGGCUAGGUUUCCCAGGAGAAGAGAUUUGUAGAUGCAAAAUGAGUUCAACGUAAUGGUGGUCAGAAGUUGGAGCUGCACGAUUUUGUACGAUGGCUCAGUUCAUUGAUCAAGACCCUUUGCAGCAGCAAGUGCAAUUUUCAUUCAUCCAUCAAAUUUGCAGCACCAAGUGCAAUUUUCAGUUCAGGCUCAGUUCACAAAGUAUAGGGCUUUUCAAUUAAGAAUAGGUAUAUUAAUUUUAAUUUGUUUUUUUUUAAUAUGAAAUUGUGCAGUCACCAUUGCUAGAAGAGAUGAUUAAUUUCUUUUUUUUCCAGGGGUCCGUUCAGAUGCAAUUGUCAUGAUCGAAACAGAAAGAGGAAGACUUUGAGAAAUACAAAGGUCUGGAAGAUUUGGAAUUUAUAUAAGGGGUUCAAACCAAGUGAGUCUUCUCUGACCUGUAUCUUUGGUUUAAUUUGGUUUGUUAGAUAAGUUGCCAGAUUGAUGCAGAGACAAUGAGUUUGGGUACAAGUACAAUGGCCAGCAGUGACUAAGUGAGUUCUUAUCUUUGAUAUUUCUCUCCUUCAUGAUUGAUAUAACUUUUAGUUAUCUUUUGAACUUCUCGGAGAAGAAGAAGAAGAGAGAGAUGGAAGGAAACAAGAGGCAGAGAAGAGAGAGGUUCCGGAUGCAACUAGUGACCAUGAAAUUCGGAGGGAGUCUGUAGGAGAAGAAGGGAAUCCAUAUUCAAGCAGUGAUAGAGCAAUAGACUGAGUUUCAAUAUGUUAUUGCAUAUUUUUGUUAAGUGUUACUCUUGGUUGUCUUCAUUAGGUACUUGGUUUUGGGCAUAACUUAAUUUGUACUUCUUCUAAUUACCUAUACUGAUAGUGCAACAACUUAAUUACAUUGCAA